GCACAAGCGGUGGAGCAUGUGGUUUAAUUCGAUGCAACGCGAAAAACCUUACCCACCUUUGACAUGUACGGAAUUUGCCAGAGAUGGCUUAGUGCUCGAAAGAGAACCGUAACACAGGUGCUGCAUGGCUGUCGUCAGCUCGUGUCGUGAGAUGUUGGGUUAAGUCCCGCAACGAGCGCAACCCUCGUCCUUAGUUGCCAUCAUUCAGUUGGGCACUCUAGGGAGACUGCCGGUGAUAAGCCGCGAGGAAGGUGGGGAUGACGUCAAGUCCUCAUGGCCCUUACAGGCUGGGCUACACACGUGCUACAAUGGCGGUAACAGUGGGACGCGAAGGGGCGACCCUUGGCAAAUCUCUAAAAGCCGUCUCAGUUCGGAUUGCACUCUGCAACUCGAGUGCAUGAAGUUGGAAUCGCUAGUAAUCGUAGAUCAGCACGCUACGGUGAAUACGUUCCCGGGC
rnacentral:rRNA from 1 species